rnacentral:rRNA from 1 species
GUUAAGCGACUAAGCGUACACGGUGGAUGCCCUGGCAGUCAGAGGCGAUGAAGGACGUGCUAAUCUGCGAUAAGCGUCGGUGAGGUGAUAUGAACCGUUAUAACCGGCGAUUUCCGAAUGGGGAAACCCAGUGUGUUUCGACACACUAUCAUUAACUGAAUCCAUAGGUUAAUGAGGCGAACCGGGGGAACUGAAACAUCUAAGUACCCCGAGGAAAAGAAAUCAACCGAGAUUCCCCCAGUAGCGGCGAGCGAACGGGGAGGAGCCCAGAGCCUGAAUCAGUGUGUGUGUUAGUGGAAGCGUCUGGAAAGGCGUGCGAUACAGGGUGACAGCCCCGUACACAAAAAUGCACAUAUUGUGAGCUCGAUGAGUAGGGCGGGACACGUGGUAUCCUGUCUGAAUAUGGGGGGACCAUCCUCCAAGGCUAAAUACUCCUGACUGACCGAUAGUGAACCAGUACCGUGAGGGAAAGGCGAAAAGAACCCCGGCGAGGGGAGUGAAAAAGAACCUGAAACCGUGUACGUACAAGCAGUGGGAGCCUCUUAAUGGGGUGACUGCGUACCUUUUGUAUAAUGGGUCAGCGACUUAUAUUCUGUAGCAAGGUUAACCGAAUAGGGGAGCCGAAGGGAAACCGAGUCUUAACUGGGCGUUAAGUUGCAGGGUAUAGACCCGAAACCCGGUGAUCUAGCCAUGGGCAGGUUGAAGGUUGGGUAACACUAACUGGAGGACCGAACCGACUAAUGUUGAAAAAUUAGCGGAUGACUUGUGGCUGGGGGUGAAAGGCCAAUCAAACCGGGAGAUAGCUGGUUCUCCCCGAAAGCUAUUUAGGUAGCGCCUCGUGAAUUCAUCUCCGGGGGUAGAGCACUGUUUCGGCAAGGGGGUCAUCCCGACUUACCAACCCGAUGCAAACUGCGAAUACCGGAGAAUGUUAUCACGGGAGACACACGGCGGGUGCUAACGUCCGUCGUGAAGAGGGAAACAACCCAGACCGCCAGCUAAGGUCCCAAAGUCAUGGUUAAGUGGGAAACGAUGUGGGAAGGCCCAGACAGCCAGGAUGUUGGCUUAGAAGCAGCCAUCAUUUAAAGAAAGCGUAAUAGCUCACUGGUCGAGUCGGCCUGCGCGGAAGAUGUAACGGGGCUAAACCAUGCACCGAAGCUGCGGCAGCGACACUAUGUGUUGUUGGGUAGGGGAGCGUUCUGUAAGCCUGUGAAGGUGGCCUGUGAGGGUUGCUGGAGGUAUCAGAAGUGCGAAUGCUGACAUAAGUAACGAUAAAGCGGGUGAAAAGCCCGCUCGCCGGAAGACCAAGGGUUCCUGUCCAACGUUAAUCGGGGCAGGGUGAGUCGACCCCUAAGGCGAGGCCGAAAGGCGUAGUCGAUGGGAAACAGGUUAAUAUUCCUGUACUUGGUGUUACUGCGAAGGGGGGACGGAGAAGGCUAUGUUGGCCGGGCGACGGUUGUCCCGGUUUAAGCGUGUAGGCUGGUUUUCCAGGCAAAUCCGGAAAACCAAGGCUGAGGCGUGAUGACGAGGCACUACGGUGCUGAAGC